GUCCUGGCUUUGGCAGCACAUAUACUAAAGUUGGAAUGAUACAGAGAGAUUAGCCUGGCCCCUGCGGUAGGAUGAUAUGCAAAUUCAUAAAGCGUUCCAUUUUUUU
ensembl:snRNA U6 U6 spliceosomal RNA